rnacentral:lncRNA from 1 species
CGCCGCGCCGGCCGAAGGAGGGAGGGCACUCGAGUGAGGCUCCAGGUGAGGAGCUGUGAAUCAUCCCGGGAGGGGGACCCGGUCCUCGUUCUGGGAAAGCAGCCAGGGAGUGGCCGCGGCGCUGUCGAGAGUCCGGGCUGCCCAGCGGCUGUUGGGCCGGGAGCGGCAGCUGUGCCCCGGGAAGUCUGGGGGAAGCUCGGAAAGAAGAUUCUAGCUACAUCAGAAACUGGUCAUUUUCUAAAACUAAAGGAGAAAACUAGGAAGGGGUGAUGAAUUCUUUCUGAGUUUCGAGUUACAAAAUAAAACGUAAGUAUUGAUGAUUUCA